UUCCUAUAAAAUAAAACCGGAAUAUGAUUUGAAAUUACUGAAUAUUUCCGUUCAACACCAGCUCUUUGUCCAAACAGCAAAAAUGAAGUUUCUCUCCUUGGGUCUCAUAGCAAUGGCUAUGUUUGCCGGUUAUGCCUCUGCCGCCUCUAUUCUUUCAAAACGUUUUUAAACAAUAGAAAAUGGUUGAAGUAAACUUUGCCAACUUUAAAAAUUUUGAAUAAAAUGCAAAGAAAAUAAAA